CUAUGAAUUGAUAAGCAUCUGGAUAAAUUAACAGCAGAUUUAUCUCAUCAACUGUUGGAAUGAAAAUACGUUCUUUGUUAAUACUAGACAGAUCUUAUUUUCUGCAACUUACUAAUUAUAUUAGUAGAAAUUCUAAUAGUCUAAACUAUUUUCUAACAAUUUUCAGGCAGCAGCUUCAGCAGCAGAAGAGACUUUCCUGACAACAAAAACAGGAUCUCCCACAUUAACUGUGUUUCCUUUCCCUCCGUUAAGAUUGUCUUUCCAAACCAUGUUCUGUCCGAAGUAGAUCUUUCCCUGUUGUUUCUUAUCUGGACGCAAAACUUUAUCAGAGUGGAUUUUCAUUAGAGUUUCAUUUGGCUCUGAACCUGCUACGCCAGUAGCUUGAUUAAUUGUAGGAAUCUUACAACGGGAGCAUAGCUUGACACCUUCAAAUGUGUACUUAUUUAUCCUAAUUUCUGUCCACAAGUCCUCAGAAAAUGGCUCACAACCAUCAACAAGGAUGUUGGGUCUAAAACGGUUAAUUGGAACAGGCUCCUUGAGAAGCUUAUUUAGCGCAUCCAAUGAUCCCUGAGAUAUUAGCAUGUAUGGAAAGAGGUCAGCAAACAUAGUGUUGUGUCCAGGAGCAUAAUUAGGAUCCACAGGCCUAGUUUCUGAUUCUGGAUUAAAACGCAUUAGCCGACUGGGUUUCCCAAGAUAAUCUGAAAACCAUUUUGCAGCUUCAGCUCCCUCAUCCAAUGCAGAGCCAGACCAUUCCCAAACUGAGACACCAUCAGCUACUGCUUGUGGCUUCGUCAUUGGUAUGUUGAGCACACCCAUCCCAGGAGCCUUUAUUACCAUAUAGGACUUUUUAGUCGGUUCCCACCCAUCAAAAAAUGCCUCAUGUGGCAGCUCUAUCUCAACCAGAGCAAGCUUUGGUUCAACUCUUUGUGUAUAAGCCCUCCCUUUGUAAUUCACAACUAACCAGUUUCGAUCCCAUCGAAAUCCUGUAGGAGUAAGCGGAGCAUGAGAAACAGAGAUGCCACGGCAUGACUUGAUAGGAUAGAUGAAUAUCGAUGAUACUUUUGCAAUUGGCUCCAUCUUCUCUCUCAAUCUUUCGGAGUUGAAAUGAAAGAUUGAAACUUAAUUAGAGAUAUGAUUCUGAAUCCUUCAUAUGGAGACUGGAAAUAGAAGACGUA
rnacentral:misc_RNA from 1 species